rnacentral:misc_RNA from 1 species
GAUGAAGAACGCAGCGAAAUGCGAUACGUAAUGUGAAAUGCAGAAUUCAGUGAAUCAUCGAGUCUUUGAACGCACAUUGCGCCCCCUGGUAUUCCGGGGGGCAUGCCUGUCCGAGCGUCAUUGCUGCCCUCAAGCACGGCUUGUGUGUUGGGCCUCCGCCCCCCGGCUCCCGGGGGGCGGGCCCGAAAGGCAGCGGCGGCACCGCGUCCGGUCCUCGAGCGUAUGGGGCUUCGUCACCCGCUCCGUAGGCCCGGCCGGCGCCCGCCGGCGACCCCCCUCAAUCUUUCCAGGUUGACCUCGGAUCAGGUAGGGAUACCCGCUGAACUUAAGCAUAUCAAUAAGCGGAGGA